rnacentral:rRNA from 1 species
UACGUAGGGGGCAAGCGUUGUCCGGAUUUAUUGGGCGUAAAGAGCGUGUAGGCGGCUUUACAGGUCCGUUGUGAAAACUCGAGGCUCAACCUCGAGACGCCGGUGGAAACCGCAAGGCUAGAGUCCGGAAGAGGAGAGUGGAAUUCCUGGUGUAGCGGUGAAAUGCGCAGAUAUCAGGAGGAACACCCGUGGCGAAAGCGGCUCUCUGGGACGGUACUGACGCUGAGACGCGAAAGCGUGGGGAGCGAACAGG